rnacentral:rRNA from 1 species
CCUACGGGUGGCAGCAGUCGAGAAUUUUUCUCAAUGGGGGAAACCCUGAAGGAGCGACGCCGCGUGGAGGAUGAAGGCUUUCGGGUUGUAAACUCCUGUCAUUUGAGAACUAGUAUCAGAAGAGGAAGGGACGGCUAACUCUGUGCCAGCAGCCGCGGUAAUACAGAGGUCCCAAGCGUUGUUCGGAUUCAUUGGGCGUAAAGGGUGCGUAGGUGGCGCCGUAAGUGGGGUGUGAAAUUUCGGAGCUUAACUCCGAAACUGCAUUCCAUACUGCGGUGCUUGAGGACUGGAGAGGAGACUGGAAUUCAUGGUGUAGCAGUGAAAUGCGUAGAGAUCAUGAGGAAGACCAGUGGCGAAGGCGGGUCUCUGGACAGUCCUGACACUGAGGCACGAAGGCUAGGGGAGCGAACGGGAUUAGAUACCCUUGUAGUC